AUUGAACGCUGGCGGCAUGCCUUACACAUGCAAGUCGAACGGCAGCACGGGUGCUUGCACCUGGUGGCGAGUGGCGAACGGGUGAGUAAUACAUCGGAACAUGUCCUGUAGUGGGGGAUAGCCCGGCGAAAGCCGGAUUAAUACCGCAUACGAUCCACGGAUGAAAGCGGGGGACCUUCGGGCCUCGCGCUAUAGGGUUGGCCGAUGGCUGAUUAGCUAGUUGGUGGGGUAAAGGCCUACCAAGGCGACGAUCAGUAGCUGGUCUGAGAGGACGACCAGCCACACUGGGACUGAGACACGGCCCAGACUCCUACGGGAGGCAGCAGUGGGGAAUUUUGGACAAUGGGCGAAAGCCUGAUCCAGCAAUGCCGCGUGUGUGAAGAAGGCCUUCGGGUUGUAAAGCACUUUUGUCCGGAAAGAAAUACUUGGCUCUAAUACAGUCGGGGGAUGACGGUACCGGAAGAAUAAGCACCGGCUAACUACGUG
rnacentral:rRNA from 1 species